rnacentral:rRNA from 1 species
GAUGAACGCUGGCGGCGUGCCUAAUACAUGCAAGUCGAGCGAACAGAUGAGGAGCUUGCUCCUCUGACGUUAGCGGCGGACGGGUGAGUAACACGUGGAUAACCUACCUAUAAGACUGGGAUAACUUCGGGAAACCGGAGCUAAUACCGGAUAAUAUAUUGAACCGCAUGGUUCAAUAGUGAAAGACGGUUUUGCUGUCACUUAUAGAUGGAUCCGCGCCGCAUUAGCUAGUUGGUAAGGUAACGGCUUACCAAGGCAACGAUGAGUAGCCGACCUGAGAGGGUGAUCGGCCACACUGGAAGUGAGACACGGUCCAGACUCCUACGGGAGGCAGCAGUAGGGAAUCUUCCGCAAUGGGCGAAAGCCUGACGGAGCAACGCCGCGUGAGUGAUGAAGGUCUUCGGAUCGUAAAACUCUGUUAUUAGGGAAGAACAAAUGUGUAAGUAACUAUGCACGUCUUGACGGUACCUAAUCAGAAAGCAACGGCUAACUACGUG